UCUCCCCCAAGUCUCGGGUGAGAUCACCACGGAGCGGCUUAGCGCGGCGCACAAGUCUCGCGAGAGAAGCGGCGGCUGGGCCCUGCAGGCGGAGGAAGUGGAAAAAGUCGCGGGAGGGUAGGGGACCGCGGAACUUCUGGUUGCUAUGACGACGGCAAAGCCCUGGAUUCCUGUCUCCUGCGGAGAGCAGAGGCUGCAAACGCAUCCGCAGACGCCUUUAUACGUACUCCAAAAUGCUAGUAAGGAUGAAGAUGAACUCUCCUCAGCCCGUGUCUUUUAACUGUAGAAACUUUUCUGAGACUAGUCUCACUCUGUUGCCCAGGCUGGAGUGCAGUGGCGCGAUCUCAGCUUACUUCAGCCUCCGCCUCCCGGUUUCAAGUGAAUUCUCCAGCCUCAACUUCACAAGUAGCUGGGAUUACAGGGCAUUCAAGCAGCCCUGAGGAGAGGUCCACAUGGUGAGCCACUGAGGGCCUUGCCAAGAGCCAGCACCAACGGUCCAGGUUUGGAGUGUACCACCUUGGAAGUGAAUCUUCCAGUCCAGUCAAGCCUUCAGAUGACUUCAGAACCGUCCAUGUAAGCCACUCUUGGAUUCCUGACCCACAGAAACUGUUGGAGGCAUUAUCAACAGUUUCUAACAUCACAGACAGACAAACAUGUGCCUCCUGAUUGAAAAAACAGAACAUCACCUGUAGUCUUGCCAGUGAGAUCAAACUGAAGUCCAAUUAACCUCUGGAUCCAGCUGCCAAUUUGCAGGAAAUAGAGGAGAGAAGCAUCUGUUGAACUGCACCAUGAGUAUACACUCAGCAAAGGCCAAACUGUGGAAAAUGAUACAGGUCAAACAGCCUGGAUUCUUUAACAGUAAGUGAUGUUUCUGAAGCACCAAUGAAAAUGAAGUCCUGAAGUCCUGUGCUCAAUAUGAAAUGUUGGAAGUUAGAAGAAAAAAACAAAACUUGGAUCCAAUCUCAAGGCACUUUUUGUUUAAUGGGAAGAAGUGGAUUAUUUUAAAAGCUACAAAUAAAGUUACAUAAAAGUA
rnacentral:lncRNA from 1 species